rnacentral:snRNA from 1 species
GUUUUUCCUUCGUUUUAAUCUAU